GUGCUCACUUGGGCAGCACAUAUACUAAAACUGGAACAAUACAGAGAAGAUUAGCACGGCCCCUGCAUAAGGAUGACACACAAAUUCAUGAAACGUUCCACAUUUUU
rnacentral:snRNA from 1 species